rnacentral:lncRNA from 1 species
AGGAUGAGAGACAGAAAUUACGCAUAACAUUCCAAAAGGAGUUGAGAAAAAUGUUUUCCUCACACAAACUUCAGCAGCAUAUCCAGUAUGACAAAGUAUUCUUUAUUAACGCAACAGACGCAACAGAUUCAGAAAUUGAUAGUUUGAAAGAAACAUUAGUUGACAUCGCCUUCCAGCAGUCAACAUGGGGACACCAAAUGCCAAUUGUUUGGGUGCCUCUUGAUUUACAAAUAUCAGAUAUGAGAGCAGAUGGAGUAACGUUAAUAAGAAAAGAAAGGCUUUUGGAGAUAAACAAGUCGAAUAAGAAAUUUGCACUAAGUGAAGGGAGAGUUGAAGCUUUUUUACUUGUUCAACAUUCAAUAGGAAAGCUUUUGUACUUUGAUGAACCUGCUUUACGAGAUUUCAUUGUUAUUCAGCCCACAUCAAUGGUCAAUAUUCUGAGAGCCUUCAUCACAGACCAAAUGUUUUGGCCUAGAUCUGGACCCAUUAGAGACAUACUGCAUAAUUUGUCAUCUACUGGAGUUCUAAA